UACGGAGGGUGCGAGCGUUGUCCGGAAUUAUUGGGCGUAAAGGGCUCGUAGGCGGUCCGUCACGUCGGGAGUGAAAACUCGGGGCUCAACCCCGAGCCUGCUUUCGAUACGGGCGGACUAGAGGUAGGUAGGGGAGAACGGAAUUCCUGGUGUAGCGGUGGAAUGCGCAGAUAUCAGGAGGAACACCGGUGGCGAAGGCGGUUCUCUGGGCCUUACCUGACGCUGAGGAGCGAAAGCGUGGGGAGCGAACAGG
rnacentral:rRNA from 1 species